UGCGCAGGCGGACUAUUAAGUCAGUGGUGAAAUCUCUCGGCUCAACCGAGAAACUGCCAUUGAAACUGAUAAGCUUGAGUGUAGUUGUAGUAGGCGGAAUAUAGCAUGUAGCGGUGAAAUGCUUAGAUAUGCUAUAGAACACCGAUCGCGAAGGCAGCUUACUAAACUAUCACUGACGCUCAUGCACGAAAGCGUGGGGAGCAAACAGGAUUAGAUACCCUGGUAGUCC
rnacentral:rRNA from 1 species